rnacentral:rRNA from 1 species
UACAGGGGGGGCAAGCGUUGUUCGGAAUUACUGGGCGUAAAGGGCUCGUAGGUGGCCAACUAAGUCGGACGUGAAAUCCCCAGGCUUAACCUGGGAACUGCGUGUGAUACUGGAUGGCUUGAAUCCGGGAGAGGGAUGCGGAAUUCCAGGUGUAGCGGUGAAAUGCGUAGAUAUCUGGAGGAACACCGAUGGCGAAGGCAGGUCUCUGGGCCGCAACUGACGCUGAGGAGCGAAAGCAUGGGGAGCGAACAGG